rnacentral:misc_RNA from 1 species
AAAAAGGAAAAAUGAAAAAGUAAUUUUCUCUGCAUGCAAAGUCUCCCUCUCCAACUCAAACACUCUGUAGAAGGGAACAAAACGCCCAGUACAACACACACUUACAUUUUUGUUUGGGUUUUUGUGGGUCAGAAUCGCCGAGUCAAAGCUCAGAAGGAGCCGGAAUUUUGCAGGUGGUGUUUGGGUGUUGACAGCAGCGGAGGCACUAGAGGAAUUUUGCAGAAAUGGAGGACAAUGUUCAAUCUACCAUUUUGGAGGGGGAGAUAGUUGGAAUCAGAUUUGGUUUGGCAACUCAUAAGGAAAUAUCUACGGCUUCUGUUAGUGACUGCCCUAUAAGCCAUUCUAGUCAGCUUACAAAUCC